AAAAAGGGUGCUUGCUUCAUGGCAUACAGGAUCUUCGGGUUCUGUAGAGUAUGGCUAUCAAGACAUACUCAGCACAUAAUUUUUGGAUUGAGGAGCUGUUAGAUGUCUUAGAACUCUGGCGCUCCU
rnacentral:snRNA from 1 species